rnacentral:misc_RNA from 1 species
AAUAUUUUGUGGGGUUGGCUGAAUUUCACUUCUAGAGGUUAUAAGAAUUUGUAUUUAGAUACUAUAUAUUUGGAGUUAGUAUGAUUAAUGCUGUUAUCAUAAUUGUGGAGAGAUAUGAGAUUGUAGAUGGUGAUCCAUAGUGGAGGAUCUCUACUUAAAAAAUUGAGCUGGAUAAAAUAAGUGUAUUAGAUGGUAGGAGAGCGUAUGAAGCCAGAAUAGGUAAGUGUGUACGU